rnacentral:tRNA from 1 species
CUUAGCUCAACGGAUAGAGCGUCGGACUUCGAAUCCGCAGGUUGUAGGUUCGAGUCCUACAGGG